UAUUGGGCAAUGGGCGAAAGCCUGACCCAGCGACGCCGCGUGGGCGAUGAAGGUCUUUGGAUUGUAAAGCCCUUUUCAGGGAGAAGAAGGGAUCGCCGAGGAAUACUUGGUGAUCCUUGACGGUACCCCUGGAAUAAGCCCCGGCUAACUACGUGCCAGCAGCCGCGGUAAUACGUAGGGGGCAAGCGUUGUCCGGAAUUACUGGGUGUAAAGGGCGUGUAGGCGACUCCUUAAGUUGAAUGUGAAAUCUCCCGGCUCAACUGGGAGGAGUCAUUCAAUACUGAGGGGAUGUGAGGACAGAAGAGGGAAGUGGAAUUCCCGGUGUAGCGGUAAAAUGCGUAGAUAUCGGGAGGAACACCAGUGGCGAAGGCGGCUUCCUGGUCUGUCCCUGACGCUGAGGCGCGAAAGCUAGGGGAGCAAACGGG
rnacentral:rRNA from 1 species